rnacentral:rRNA from 1 species
GAUGAACGCUGGCGGCGUGCCUAACACAUGCAAGUCGAACGAGAAGUCAACUUCUGAUUCCUUCGGGAUGAGGAGGUUGGCAGAAAGUGGCGAACGGGUGAGUAACGCGUGGGUAAUCUACCCUGUAAGUGGGGGAUAACCCUCCGAAAGGAGGGCUAAUACCGCAUAAUAUCUUCACUUCUAAAAGAAGAGAAGAUUAAAGAUGGCCUCUGUCUUAAGCUAUCGCUUCAGGAUGAGCCUGCGUCCUAUUAGUUAGUUGGUGGGGUAAUGGCCUACCAAGACCACAAUGGGUAGCCGGUCUGAGAGGAUGUACGGCCACACUGGGACUGAGAUACGGCCCAGACUCCUACGGGAGGCAGCAGUGGGGAAUAUUGCGCAAUGGGGGAAACCCUGACGCAGCGACGCCGCGUGGAUGAUGAAGGCCUUUGGGUUGUAAAAUCCUGUUUUGGGGGAAGAAACCUUAAGGGUCCAAUAAACCC